AAUCCUUGUAAGCAUUAUCCAAAAGUAGAACAAAGUGCACCUGCCAACAACAAUUGAAGAGAUACAAAUUGUCAGGUAAUUGUGGAGUAUAUGUGGCCCUUAAGCAUCUAUAGAAAUCAAAUGGCAUUUGGAUGUUGUUCCAUCGCAAGAGCCCCUAGUUUUCAUCCACACCUCUUUGAAGUCAUCUGCAAAUUCUUUGACUGUAGAUAUAGCCACUGUAGCAGCUUCCUUUAAAGGAUACCUAAACAAAUAUAGAAAAAUUGAGAGUGGUAAUGAAAUUGUUACUAAUUAUAGAACAACAAACUUUGUGAAUUUAGUAUCAGUUAUCUCAUCCUUGACACUUGGGAUUCUUGUACAUAUUGAUGGCCAGGACUUGCAGACAGCAAGCUAAUAUCUGAACAUACCCAACUGUUUCUCCAAACAACUCUCAACUCUCAAGGCAUAUGGGGCUACAACUCGACCGAUGCUUUCAACAAGAAAAGUUUUUUAUCUACUCAAGAUGGAGUUGUGCAAAUGCAAUAAAUUCAUCCAGAGUCCAGCAGAAAUAUAGGAAUCAACAGAAAAAAG
rnacentral:lncRNA from 1 species